rnacentral:RNase_P_RNA from 1 species
GAAGUUCGCCAGGCAAUCGCUGGAUGCUCUGCAUCUGGAGGAAAGUCCGGGCCCCAUAGAGCGGGAUGCUGGCUAACGGCCAGGCGUUAUAAGUAGCGGCAACGCUACCCAAGGCGACAGACAGUGCAACAGAAAGAUACCGCCUAAGCUCGCAAGAGCCGGUAAGGGUGAAAUGGCGGGGUAAGAGCCCACCGCGGACCUGGCGACAGGGACGGCACGGCAAACCUCAUCCGGGGCAAGGCCAAAUAGGGGAGCAAUGACGUGGCUCGCGUCGCUCCCGGGUAGGCUGCUUGAGGCCGUCGGUAACGGCGGUCCCAGAGGAAUGAUUGCCCACGACAGAACCCGGCUUAUCGGCGGACUUCCCAC